CCGAACAGAGCCGUUAAGCCCGGGAGCGCCGAUGGUACUGGGUUCACCCCCGGGAGAGUAGGUGGCCGCCAACC
rnacentral:rRNA from 1 species